rnacentral:rRNA from 1 species
UACGGGGGGGGCAAGCGUUGUUCGGAAUUACUGGGCGUAAAGGGCUCGUAGGCGGCCAACUAAGUCAUACGUGAAAUCCCUCAGCUUAACUGGGGAACUGCGUGUGAUACUGGAUGGCUUGGAUUUGGGAGAGGGAUGCGGAAUUCCAGGUGUAGCGGUGAAAUGCGUAGAUAUCUGGAGGAACACCGGUGGCGAAGGCGGCAUCCUGGACCAAUAUUGACGCUGAGGCGCGAAAGCCAGGGGAGCAAACGGG